GUUGCUGCGAGGUUGACUGCGAGAUACUGGGUACCCUGUUUGCUGCGAUUUGUCACUAAUUUGCCACAAUUUGCCACUAUUCGUCACUAUUCGAGACUGUACGCCACUACUCGCACUAUUCGAGACUUCGUACUAUUCGCAAUUCGCUAGUCGGGACUAUUCGCUGUUCUCUAUUCGCGACUAUUCGCUAUUCGGGUUUUCCAGACAUUCUGUUAGGAAGACGCAGCAAUGUCGAAAAGCAAGUUGGAAUGAAAUAAAUGACAAAAUUAUGCGAUUUUUUUUCUUUCUUUUUAGCGAGUAAUAGCUAGCGUAGCGUAAGUAGAAUGAGUUAUAGCAGUUAGCUGGGGAAGAAAUAAUUGAUUCGCUCGCUCGUUCGGUCCGUCACUCAGUCGAUAGGCCAUAAACAAUUUUUUGGUGGUAAUUCCGCUGACCAGGGUAUUUCGUUAGGGCUAACCAUUGUGAACAUGGCUACCAAAGCAAUAAACUGAUCUUUCGCGUUUGGAGUCGAACAAGUCGAACAAGUGCCCCCAAUUUAAAGACUAUUUGAAGUCUGGAAGGGCGAGAAAAUUCGCAAAUUCUCGUAGGAUCCGAUCGCUCACCGAGGCAGGCUCCAAUCGAUUUCCGUAAUUUCGGUUCCAGACCUCGCACUAGCAGACCGCGUAUUAAACAAUCAAAAUGGCCGCCACAAAAAACACAGAAGACGUGCGAUAGGUUGAUCCUCAUACUCUAAACGGAGGCUCCUGUGCUUGAGUGCGAAGCCUGCUCGGAGGAAUACUCGGAGGAAGCUCGGAGGCUAUAGCCACACAGCCCCCUCCCUCCCCUCCCCUUUCACAACCUCGUCCCCAGGGCCCUCUCCUCGACGAUUUUCAAAAUGGCGGCUCCUGGUGCAAUGUCUUCCCUGCCAUUUUGCACGUGGGCAUGUAAAGUCGACUUUCAAAGAGCCAGGACGAGGAAUGAGGAGACGUUUUUGCUUGUUGAUCAAAUUGCUCUGCACGAUGAAGAUGAGAUUUAAACUCAAGUGGAUCAGAAACUUGGCAAUUAGGGUUUACAUGCUGCAGUUAUCCAGGUAAACUGAUGAAUUACAGUGAUUUACAAUUA